AUGAAGUGUGAUCGAUCAUCCAGCUCAAGUGGGUCCAAUGAAGUUUGGAAGCUUCUUCUCUCUGAAGCUUCUGGGGUGCUGGAUGAAGCUUUGGACCUUCUGGCCAACUCAAAAAUCAACUCCAAUAGCCCUUCGGCGUCCAUGAUUCUGGACAGCAUUCAAGAAAUCAGACUGAAUCUAUUAAGCCGCAACACUCUGAAUGAUCCGUCCACGCUCCAGCUGUGGUUCAACAGUCGACUUCGUCCGUUCUUGCCUGCUGUUUCCAGUUACUUCCUCUCAUGUCUGGCAGCUAAAGAUUUGCAGUGCAGCUCCUACCAAUAUAUUUUGAAGAUUCUAAGUCAAGUUCAGCCUCAGAUGAGUCUUUCUAAACAAGGACCCGUGUACACACACUUCAUCAAGAUUUACCUGAGAAGAAACAACACUGCAGAUCCUGGCUGUACCUCCAAUAUCACCAGCGGCACACAGUGGCUCCAGAACAAUGUUGGGGGAUUUUCUGUUCUCCUUUCUAUAAAGAACAUCAAAGAGCUCUACCCACAAUUUUCUGCGGUUUGUUUCAUUUUCUUGUGCAUUUUGUAUAAUUUUUUUCAUCAUACCAUUACAUUAUCAUUUUAUUUUUCUGUGUUUGAACAUGCAGAUGGAAGCCUUGUCAGUGCUGUCAGUCAGACAGCUUGCAGAGGUAGCUUCCACACCCGGCCAGCUCACAUCUGCUGA
rnacentral:lncRNA from 1 species